rnacentral:pre_miRNA from 1 species
AUGUAGGGCAAUCCGUCUUUAAGUAGGGACAAAUUACUCUUGAAUAAAAUAAUCUUAGUUUUCCCUUCAAGUCAAGCAACUUGU